CCUACGGGGCGCAGCAGUGGGGAAUAUUGGACAAUGGGCGAAAGCCUGAUCCAGCCAUGCCGCGUGUGUGAAGAAGGCCUUCGGGUUGUAAAGCACUUUCAGUGGGGAAGAAAGCCUUGGGGCUAAUACCCUCGAGGAAGGACAUCACCCACAGAAGAAGCACCGGCUAACUCCGUGCCAGCAGCCGCGGUAAUACGGAGGGUGCGAGCGUUAAUCGGAAUUACUGGGCGUAAAGCGCGCGUAGGCGGUCUGAUAAGCCGGUUGUGAAAGCCCCGGGCUCAACCUGGGAACGGCAUCCGGAACUGUCAGGCUAGAGUGCAGGAGAGGAAGGAAGAAUUCCCGGUGUAGCGGUGAAAUGCGUAGAGAGCGGGAGGAAUACCAGUGGCGAAGGCGGCCUUCUGGACUGACACUGACGCUGAGGUGCGAAAGCGUGGGUAGCAAACAGGAUUAGAUACCCGAGUAGUC
rnacentral:rRNA from 1 species